rnacentral:rRNA from 1 species
UACGGAGGGUGCAAGCGUUAUCCGGAUUCACUGGGUUUAAAGGGUGCGUAGGUGGGUUGGUAAGUCAGUGGUGAAAUCCCCGAGCUUAACUUGGGAACUGCCAUUGAUACUAUUGAUCUUGAAUACCGUGGAGGUCAGCGGAAUAUGUCAUGUAGCGGUGAAAUGCUUAGAUAUGACAUAGAACACCAAUUGCGAAGGCAGCUGGCUACGCGAAUAUUGACACUGAUGCACGAAAGCGUGGGGAUCAAACAGG